CUGUCUGAAUAUGGGGGGACCAUCCUCCAAGGCUAAAUACUCCUGACUGACCGAUAGUGAACCAGUACCGUGAGGGAAAGGCGAAAAGAACCCCGGCGAGGGGAGUGAAAAAGAACCUGAAACCGUGUACGUACAAGCAGUGGGAGCACGCUUAGGCGUGUGACUGCGUACCUUUUGUAUAAUGGGUCAGCGACUUAUAUUCUGUAGCAAGGUUAACCGAAUAGGGGAGCCGAAGGGAAACCGAGUCUUAACUGGGCGUUAAGUUGCAGGGUAUAGACCCGAAACCCGGUGAUCUAGCCAUGGGCAGGUUGAAGGUUGGGUAACACUAACUGGAGGACCGAACCGACUAAUGUUGAAAAAUUAGCGGAUGACUUGUGGCUGGGGGUGAAAGGCCAAUCAAACCGGGAGAUAGCUGGUUCUCCCCGAAAGCUAUUUAGGUAGCGCCUCGUGAAUUCAUCUCCGGGGGUAGAGCACUGUUUCGGCAAGGGGGUCAUCCCGACUUACCAACCCGAUGCAAACUGCGAAUACCGGAGAAUGUUAUCACGGGAGACACACGGCGGGUGCUAACGUCCGUCGUGAAGAGGGAAACAACCCAGACCGCCAGCUAAGGUCCCAAAGUCAUGGUUAAGUGGGAAACGAUGUGGGAAGGCCCAGACAGCCAGGAUGUUGGCUUAGAAGCAGCCAUCAUUUAAAGAAAGCGUAAUAGCUCACUGGUCGAGUCGGCCUGCGCGGAAGAUGUAACGGGGCUAAACCAUGCACCGAAGCUGCGGCAGCGACGCUGAUGCGUUGUUGGGUAGGGGAGCGUUCUGUAAGCCUGCGAAGGUGUGCUGUGAGGCAUGCUGGAGGUAUCAGAAGUGCGAAUGCUGACAUAAGUAACGAUAAAGCGGGUGAAAAGCCCGCUCGCCGGAAGACCAAGGGUUCCUGUCCAACGUUAAUCGGGGCAGGGUGAGUCGACCCCUAAGGCGAGGCCGAAAGGCGUAGUCGAUGGGAAACAGGUUAAUAUUCCUGUACUUGGUGUUACUGCGAAGGGGGGACGGAGAAGGCUAUGUUGGCCGGGCGACGGUUGUCCCGGUUUAAGCGUGUAGGCUGGUUUUCCAGGCAAAUCCGGAAAAUCAAGGCUGAGGCGUGAUGACGAGGCACU
rnacentral:rRNA from 1 species